rnacentral:rRNA from 1 species
UACGGGGGAGCAAGCGUUGUCCGGAAUCAUUGGGCGUAAAGAGCGUGUAGGCGGCCCGAUAAGUCCGCCGUGAAAGUCCAGGGCUCAACCCUGGAAUGCCGGUGGAAACUGUCGGGCUGGAGUCCGGAAGAGGCGAGUGGAAUUCCUGGUGUAGCGGUGAAAUGCGCAGAUAUCAGGAAGAACACCUAUGGCGAAGGCAGCUCUCUGGGGACGGUACUGACGCUGAGACGCGAAAAGCGUGGGGGAGCGAACAGG